UUUUUUUUUUUUUUUUUUUUUUNUUUUUUUUGUCUUUUGUCUUUUUUCUAGGGCCGCACCCAUGGCAUAUGGAGGUUCCCAGGCUAGGUGUCUAAUCAGAGCUAUACCACAGCCACAGAAACGCCGGAUCCUGAACCCACUGAGUGAACCCACAACCUCAUGGUUCCUAGUCAGAUAGAAUCCUUUCUUUUUCUCCACUUUUCUUCCCAACUCCAUCCCAGCCCUGUCUCCUCUUCUGCUCACCUCCUUUCCCAGGCCUCCCAGAAACCCUGAGAUGGGGAGUGGGGGUCAUUUUUUGAGGCCAUUGUGCCUUCUGGGGCAGUGGAAAUAGUAUGACCUUUGGAGCCAGACUCACCAAGAUCUAGAUCUCAGCUCGUCUGCCCACAGGCUCUGUGCAUCUGGACAAGAGAAGUAACUUCUCACAUCCUUACCCAAGCACGGUCCUGAGGGUCAGAUCCACUGGCUCCUGCACUCCCCAUGGUAGCUGUGCGUCCUGGCACCCUACACAUGGUGGACCCACAUGGCGUAGGUCGCAACUGCGGCUCAUAUUUGAGAGUUCACUACACUUCCAUUUUUAUUCUUUUGAUUGGGCCUUUUAAGAGCCCUGGGAGGGGAGUUCCCUGGUAGCCUAGUGGUUAAGGAUAUAGCAUUAUACCUGGCAUUGUACCUGCUGUGGUGCAGAGUUGAUACCUGGCUUGGGAACUUCCGCCUGCCAUGGGCAUGGCCAAAAAAAAACCCUUGGGAGAUGACACUCAUUUCCAUUUCACAGGCAAUACUGUGAUGCCUAUUAAGGCAAAUGACUUGCCCUAUGUCACACAGCAGGUCAGUAGCACAGGGAAGGGCUGGGCCACAACCUGGAGCUACAGCCCUUCUGACCCAGAGGUGCUGAGACCAGGGAGGGAAUUCAGACCUGCCCACAGUCCCAUGACCAUCCAGAUGCCUUUUUGGCCCAGGGGGUGUCUGGUUCUUCAACAUCCUCAUGUUAGUAUUAACUCGUCUCAGCCUCACCAGAAGGUUUCCUAAACAGACACACAAAUGCCAACCUUACGACACUUGCUAAUAAAAACAGUUCCCUCAGUAGGAUUGGGUUCCAGCGGUGCCUAAUAAUAACUGUGGCCAUGAGUGAGGAAAUCAUUCGCUGUGCAGAGGGUGCGAGAUACUCUAGGACCAGACAGAACGUGGAGGAGUCAAGGCCAAGACAGUGUUUGCAGCCAGGACAAGGGCAGGGCUGGAAACUGGGCACCUGGCUGGGUGAGGAGAGCAGUGGACUAAAGCCGAGCCCUAUCCUGGCCAUGUCAGCAAAGGUGACAGCUCAUGCCAUCAUCUGAAAAACACCACUGGACAGUAACCCUGAUAAGAGUGUUGGGUGGCCCAUGGGUGUGUGUUUGGAAACACAUGGGAGUUUCAGAGGAAAACUCCUCGCUCUUUCCAAGAUGUUCAGAUAUUUAUUUGGAAGGAGUUGGGUCUUUCCUCAUAUUAUAAACAUGAGAUUGACAAGCAAGUAACCCAGGAGAGGAGGCCCAGGGAGGUGUCCAUGGUUAUAUGUAGAGGACAAGGACCAGGGCCUUCCCUGAGAGAUGGUUUGGCCAAGCCCUGUGGUUUUUCUGUGUCUGCUCUAAAAGCCUCUCACUGUCUGUCCUCCUCACCUUGACUGGCUCUGUCCCAGCCUCUUACCUUCUCCAUGAGAUGCUGUGAAACAGCAGCAUCACAGUACUGAGAGCUUAGAAUUCCCUCUGUGGUGCAAUGGGAUCGGCGGGGUCUCAGGACCACCGAGAUGCAGGUUGGAUCCUUGGCCGGGCACAGCAGGUUUAAGGAUCCAGGGUUGCCAUAGCAGUGGUGUAGGUUGCAAUUGUAGCUCAUGUCUGAGAGUUCACUGUGUGCUGGGCACUGUUCAGAGGCCUUCCCUGGUGUUAAUUCAUUUCAUCUGCACCAUCUUCCGAGCUAGGAACUAUUAUUAUGCCCAUACACAUGGGGAACACUGAGGCACAAAAGGUUAAGUAACUUGGCCAAGGUGACUCAGCAAAUAAGAGGUGGGGUGGAAUGUGACCCCAGGCCAUCUGGCUCUAGAGCCCUCCCUUCUGCUUGAGCUGAAAUCUAGCUCACACUGCAGGGUGCCGGCUCCCUAGACUCCUGUCUUGUCUUCCAAGCCCUCAGAAUCCCAGGGCUCAGGGGCAGGGGUCGAUUCAACACCUGAUACUGUGGCUCAGUACCACAUCUGCCACCAUGCUGGAAAAUCUGAACACCCAUCCAGAAGAUACAGUCACAGGCCAGGCUCACAGGCCAUCACCUUUCUGGACUCACACACUUCUUUCCCCUCUGCCUGGUGGUCCCCAGUGACAGGCAAGGCAGAAGAGAGGGCUGGCUAAGAGCCUGGACCCCAGAGUCACACUGAUGGGCUCUACUGCCAACCCAGCCAGUGACCAGUUUUGUUCCCUCAGAUAAGUUUCUUGACCUCUCUGAGCCUCGGUUUCUUUAUUGAUGAAAUGAGCUAAUAAACAAACUACCUUCCAGAAGUUUCCACUGUGGCUCAGUGGGUUAUGAAACUGACUGGUAUCCACCAGGAUUCAGAUUCGAUCCCUGGUAUCACUCAGUGGGUUAAGGAUCCAGCGUUGCCAAGAGCUGUAGUUUGCAGACACAGCUCGGAUCCUAUGUUGCUGUGGCUGUGGCGUUGGCCAGCAGCUGUAGCUCUGAUUAGACCCUAGCCUGGGAACCUCCAUAUGCCACAUGCGGCCCUAAAAAAGGAAAAAAAAAAAAAGAAAAGAAAGAAAGAAACUACCUUCCAGACCUAUGGAGAGGAGUGAAAGUAAGCACAACAAUUACUUAAAAGGGAGCUUUAGGAAAUCUUAGUGCUUAAAAUGACCCCAUCUUGUCACACAGACUCUGAAACCAUAAAAUCAGAAAUUCUGCUUUCUAAUCACAACUUCCUGUUUUCCAUCCUUAAAGAUCGCCUGCCCCAAUAUCCUACUCUGCUGUGUUAGUGCCCAGAGGGCUGGGAACCUCAUUCUCCAGCAUAUCAGCCACCUUCUGGUUUCUUUCCAACUUUGUUCACUUCAUGGUCAAUCACUUCACUGACAUCCUUAUACUUACCCACAACUUUCUCAUACUUGGCCUGUGUCUGUCAGGAUUAGUUAGGUUCUGUGGCCUAUAACAGAAAACCCAAAAUAACAGUUUUUAAAAUCAUUAGGGUUUAUUUCUCUCUCAUAAAAGGAAUCCAGGGUAGCUAGCCCAGAAGUGGGAUGGUGGCUCUAAAUGGAUAAGGGAUUCAUGCUCUUCUUUUUGCUGUUCAAACAUUGUCUUAUGGUCCAAGAUGGCUGUUUAAGUGCCAGCCAUGAUGCCUACAUUCCAGACAGCACAACAGAUGAAGGAAGAGGAGGGGAGAACAAUAGGAGAGCCCCAGCAGUCUGUCCUCCUGCUCCAGAGCCUUUCCAUCCAAUGCCUUCCGCUUACAUCUCAUCAGCCUCAACCCAGUCACAUAGCUGCACCUAGCUGCUGCUUGCUUCCUGCUCCAAAUAAAAGGGAGAAGGGGCAGGAUGGUCCUACUGCUGUACUUGUCUGGCCAAUGCACAGCCAGUGAUAACUUCACCAUCCCAUUCUGCUUUCCGCUCUCCUUGCUGCUGGAAAAAAAACACCAUCUUGCUGACAGGCAACUCAUCGGACUUGUGGCUUCCAGCCCCCUGAGCCCCCACAUUCCAGGAAAAGGACAUGACCUUCUCUCUUGCAUGCCUCAUGGCAAUUAUUCCAAGUAUUCGAUCACUCUCCUGAAACUCUUCUUCCCACCCCUGUUCCUGGCAGAAGGUCUGCUCCCUCUCAUUCUCCGGAAGCUGCUCCAGCUCCAACCAGGGGUGACUACCUGCCUGGUGAGAGCAGGCCCGCUCUUCCUGAAUCCCACGAUGGCAUCAGCACAGAGCCGAGCACACAAUCAAUAGAAACAAACAAUGAGAGCGAAAGCAUUCCGAGCUCACAGCUUAAUCUGUACACGCUCCCGAGAUGCUCAUUAACCAGAGCUUCCAGGGCUCCAUCCAUAGGAGGUCCCAAGCCAGCUGACUAGGACGCUCCCAGGCACAGGGUCCUCCAGCAGCCCUUCAACGCCUCAUCUCAGUUGCUGAUGGGUCUCGGAAUGGAGAGAAUCCCUCCCCCUUUGUAGGAUGCUCAGAGUCUGGCUGCUCGGAGUCUGGCUCCAUCCACCAGGACACUUCUGGCAGCCCCCUUGGGUACGUGGGCUCCAGGCACACCCUCCGCCUUUCAAAAGGGGGAAGUGCCUCCAGAGAGAAUGUCUGUAUGUCCCCACCUUCCAGGCGCAGGGUCCAUAUUCUUAUGAAAACGACGCCCCCACCCAACACCCCCCACCCCCACCUUCUUGGCUGCUGGUGAGGGGACAUCUGGGUGUGGAUGGCCAUCCCUGGGUUUGGGGACUGAUGGAGGUCGCCACCCCACUCUGAAGCAAGAAAAGAACUGGCAUUGGAAACCCUCCCACCCCCUCCAGCAGAGCCUGGCACUGGGGCAGGGGUGCUGCUCUAAAGCCCGCCCUGUUCCCCGGGCCCCCAGCAGUGCCCACCCUCCUCAGAUCCCAUCAGGGCUCAUGAGUGCUUGGGUCAGGAAAUCGCUCAGCCAGCAGCUAAGAGUUCCUACUUAGUGUGAAAAGUCUGACUUAGAGGUUGCUAUAAAAAGGAACAAAAAUAACAGAUGUGCCUCCUCGUCUGUCUUUAUGUUCCCUGUUUCAUUUAUCACACGCAUCUUGCAAUAGCUACUCAUUUUCACAUUUUCCUCAGUCACUUCCUCCCUCCACGGUGGAUUACUCAAAAUAACAGCCGCCACUCGGGGUCAGCCUCCUAGUCAAGCAGAACUGGCAGCUGCUCCAGGAUGCAGACUGCGUCCGGGAGAAGCCUCAGGUGACCUUCCCCCAUUGCCAUCCCCGCUGCCUGUCUAGGCCAUCAGCAGCACCAUGGCCUUUCUGCAGCCAGAGGAAGCCUGAGUAAGGAGGCCUGGGGACUCCCUUUCCACUGCAGAGUCUGGGAUGGCUCUGGAAACUGCCUGAGGACAGGUUGGCUGGGAGAGCAAGAGAGAGCGGAACAGACCAUCUGGCAAGGAAGGACCAUGUGACCAGAGUUAGGACCUGGGUUCCAGUCUAAUAUUUGUCAGCGUAUUGUGUGGCCAUGGGCAAGUUGCCUGCCCUCUCUGGCUCUCGGGCUCCCCAUCUGUAAAACCAGGGCAGAUGGGCCCUGUGCUGGGUCCAUGUCUAGAGCCUCUCUAACAUUUAGUCCUACCUCCUAGAUCUCCCAAAUUAGACCUGUCAACGCCUUCGCUAGCUGCCUAUUUAUGUCAUGCCUGGUCUAGAGCAGUAGACUCUAGAUUAUUCUUCCAGCCUCCCCUGUCAGCCUGUUCUUCUCAUAGUCACCAGACUUCUCCACGCUGAUGGCAUGUGCUGUUUAAAAUCUACCAGUCACUCUCCAUUGCCUUCAGCUCUUCAUCCAGGCCUGCAAUGACCCAUCUGACGCUACCUUGAUGUCUAUGGCUUUCAACUUCAUUCACAAAUACUUGUUGAGCACCUGCCACAUACCAAGCAUUGUUCUAGAUGCUUAGUAGUAAACCUUCAAGACUUGGUUCAAUUGUCACUUCCCUUCCCCUCACUCCUUCACACCCACCUGCAAGCCAAGUUCAUUGCCUCCUUCCCAGUGUGAAGUUGCCCUACCUGGUCAGGCUAUGAGAGGGCUCAAGACAGAAACCUCUCUCUCCUUCAUUACUGUAUCACCAAUAGGCAUACCUAGGGAAGUGAUGUCCAGUCAGUGUCUGCUGAAUGUGAUGGUUCAUUUUAUGUGAUAACUGGGCUAGGCCACAGUACCCAGAUAUUUGGUCAAACACGAUUCUUGAGGUUUUCAGUGAAGGUAUUUUUUAGAUGAGGUUAGCAUUUAAAUCAGUAGACUUGGAGUUACAGCCAUGGCUCAGCAGAAACAAAUCUGACUAGUAUCCAUGAGGAUGCAGGUUCAAGCCCUGGCCUCUCUCAGUAGGUUAAAGAUCCAGCACUGUGGUGAGCUAUGGUAUAGGUCACAGAGGCAGCCUGGAUCUGGCAUUUCUGUGGCUGUGGCGUAGGCAGGCAGCUACAUCUCCUCUAGCCUGGGAACCUCCAUAUGCCACAGGUGCAGCCAUAAAAAGAAAAAAAAAGUUAAAAGAUAAAAUAAAUCAGUAGACUUUGUGUAAAGCACAUUAUUCUUCAUAAUGCAGGUGGGCCUCAUCCAAUCAGUUGAAGGCCUUAAGAGAAAAGACUGACCUCCCCUGAGAAAGAGGGAAUUCCACCUCCAGAUGGCC
rnacentral:lncRNA from 1 species